rnacentral:rRNA from 1 species
UACGGAGGAUGCAAGCGUUAUCCGGAAUGAUUGGGCGUAAAGCGUCCGCAGGUGGCAAUGUAAGUCUGCUGUUAAAGAGUCUAGCUCAACUAGAUAAAAGCAGUGGAAACUACAUAGCUAGAGUACGUUCGGGGCAGAGGGAAUUCCUGGUGUAGCGGUGAAAUGCGUAGAGAUCAGGAAGAACACCGGUGGCGAAGGCGCUCUGCUAGGCCGUAACUGACACUGAGAGACGAAAGCUAGGGGAGCGAAUGUG